rnacentral:rRNA from 1 species
AACGAACGCUGGCGGCGUGCCUAACACAUGCAAGUCGAACGAGACAUGUGCUUCGCCUCCUAGUAACGUUGCCCACGGAUGAGUAACACGUGGGUAACCUGCCUCUCAGGUUGGGAUAACUCGCCGAAAGAUGAGCUAAUACCUAAUAACACCUCAUUACCCGCCGUAACAGUAGUCAAAGGUAGCCUCUUCUUUCAAGCUAUCACAUACUGCUGGUCCUGCGCACCAUUAGCUAGUUGGUAGGGUAACGGCCUAACAAGGCAAAGAUGGUGAGCUCGUAUGAGAGGGUGGACAGGCAACAUGGAGAUGAGAACAGGUCCAGAACUCUAAGGGAGGCAGCAGUGGGGAAUAUUGCGAAAUGGGCGGAAGCUCGACGCAGCCACGCCGGGGGAGGGAUGGAGGCCCUCGGGUCGUAAAGAUCUGUCGGGAGGAAAGGAUGCUCCUGAGGUUAAAAGCCUCGGGAGGUGACGGUACCUAAAAAGGAAGCAACGGCUAACUCUGUG